rnacentral:rRNA from 1 species
GAUGAACGCUGGCGGCGUGCCUAAUACAUGCAAGUCGAGCGAACAGACGAGGAGCUUGCUCCUCUGACGUUAGCGGCGGACGGGUGAGUAACACGUGGAUAACCUACCUAUAAGACUGGGAUAACUUCGGGAAACCGGAGCUAAUACCGGAUAAUAUAUUGAACCGCAUGGUUCAAUAGUGAAAGACGGUUUUGCUGUCACUUAUAGAUGGAUCCGCGCCGCAUUAGCUAGUUGGUAAGGUAACGGCUUACCAAGGCAACGAUGCGUAGCCGACCUGAGAGGGUGACCGCCCACACUGGAAUUGGGACACGGUCCAGCCUCCUACGGGAGGCAGCAGUAGGGAAUCUUCCGCAAUGGGCGAAAGCCUGCCGGAGCAACGCCGCGUGAGUGAUGAAGGUCUUCGGAUCGUAAAACUCUGUUAUUAGGGAAGACCAAAUGUGUAAGUAACUAUGCACGUCUUGACGGUACCUAAUCAGAAAGCCACGGCUAACUACGUG